UGCGAUCAUACCAGCACUAAUGCACCGGAUCCUAUCAGAACUCCGAAGUUAAGCGUGUUUGGGCGAGAGUAGUACUAGGAUGGGUGAUCCCCUGGGAAGUCCUCGUGUUGCAC
rnacentral:rRNA from 1 species